rnacentral:rRNA from 1 species
AUUGAACGCUGGCGGCAGGCCUAACACAUGCAAGUCGAACGGUAACAGGGAUCAGCUUGCUGAUUCGCUGACGAGUGGCGGACGGGUGAGUAAUGUCUGGGAAACUGCCUGAUGGAGGGGGAUAACUACUGGAAACGGUAGCUAAUACCGCAUAACGUCGCAAGACCAAAGAGGGGGGCCUUCGGGCCUCUUGCCAUCGGAUGUGCCCAGAUGGGAUUAGCUAGUAGGUGGGGUAACGGCUCACCUAGGCGACGAUCCCUAGCUGGUCUGAGAGGAUGACCAGCCACACUGGAACAGAGACACGGUCCAGACUCCUACGGGAGGCAGCAGUGGGGAAUAUUGCACAAUGGGCGCAAGCCUGAUGCAGCCAUGCCGCGUGUAUGAAGAAGGCCUUCGGGUUGUAAAGUACUUUCAGCGGGGAGGAAGGGAGUAAAGUUAAUACCUUUGCUCAUUGACGUUACCCGCAGAAGAAGCACCGGCUAACUCCGUG